rnacentral:lncRNA from 1 species
UGAUAAAAGGCUUAAUAAUUAGCCUAUUUCUGGCCACACGGCCUGAGCACAUGGGCGUGUGAAGCCUUAACGCAAGAGAUUUUUUUAAGUUUUUCAUGAGUUCUCGAUUGGGUCCCGAACCACUCCAGAUGUAUGUUUUGGGCCUCGUAAGCCCGUAUAUGGGACAGAUUGUAUGUGAAAAGAAAAGUUUUUAACUAUUUGAGAUUUCAUGGCCCUGUUUAGUAUGAAAGUGUUAGUAAAAGUUAGGUAGCACCUCG